rnacentral:rRNA from 1 species
AACGAACGCUGGCGGCAUGCCUAACACAUGCAAGUCGAACGAGACCUUCGGGUCUAGUGGCGCACGGGUGCGUAACGCGUGGGAAUCUACCCUCAGGUUCGGAAUAACUCAGAGAAAUUUGAGCUAAUACCGGAUGAUGACGUAAGUCCAAAGAUUUAUCGCCUGAGGAUGAGCCCGCGUAGGAUUAGGUAGUUGGUGAGGUAAAGGCUCACCAAGCCGACGAUCCUUAGCUGGUCUGAGAGGAUGAUCAGCCACACUGGGACUGAGACACGGCCCAGACUACUACGGGAGGCAGCAGUGGGGAAUAUUGGACAAUGGGCGAAAGCCUGAUCCAGCAAUGCCGCGUGAGUGAUGAAGGCCUUAGGGUUGUAAAGCUCUUUUACCCGGGAUGAUAAUGACAGUACCGGGAGAAUAAGCUCCGGCUAACUCCGUG